rnacentral:lncRNA from 1 species
CCAUCUGCCUUAGCCUCCCAAAGUGCUGGGAUUACAGGAGUGAGCCACUAUGCCAAGCCAGAAGCGGUAUUAGUUUUCUAUCGCAGCUGUAACAAAAGAACACAAACCUGAUGGCUUAAAACAACAGAAAUAUAUUAUCUCAUGCUUCUGAAUGCUAGAAGUCCAAAGUCACUUUACAGGUUAUUGGUUAGAUGAUUUACAGUACAUCCACACAACAGAAUAU